rnacentral:rRNA from 1 species
AGCGAACGCUGGCGGCAGGCUUAACACAUGCAAGUCGAACGGGCGUAGCAAUACGUCAGUGGCAGACGGGUGAGUAACGCGUGGGAACGUACCUUUUGGUUCGGAACAACCCAGGGAAACUUGGGCUAAUACCGGAUAAGCCCUUACGGGGAAAGAUUUAUCGCCGAAAGAUCGGCCCGCGUCUGAUUAGCUAGUUGGUGAGGUAACGGCUCACCAAGGCGACGAUCAGUAGCUGGUCUGAGAGGAUGAUCAGCCACAUUGGGACUGAGACACGGCCCAAACUCCUACGGGAGGCAGCAGUGGGGAAUAUUUGACAAUGGGCGCAAGCCUGAUCCAGCCAUGCCGCGUGAGUGAUGAAGGCCCUAGGGUUGUAAAGCUCUUUUGUGCGGGAAGAUAAUGACGGUACCGCAAGAAUAAGCCCCGGCUAACUUCGUGCCAGCCGCCGCUGUAAC